rnacentral:pre_miRNA from 1 species
CUGGGCACCCGACGAUGAUUAAGAUUGGAAAGAGGCCUUCUCUAUACACCGACCAUCCAGAUUAUGAGACGACGCAUCAAUCAACUCAAUCUUCAGGAUACGAACAGCUACCCACUCCCCGUCGUUCCCUGCCUGGGAACGUUCGGUCGCACGCAACGAUACCCUGUUCCCGUCGAGUUGAUUUGUACGUGUUUGUAUCGCUUCAAAAGCCUUCCUGGGGUGUCCUGAUGACAAUCUUUCGUCUUGUUACGUUGUUUUGGUGCGCUC